rnacentral:lncRNA from 1 species
GGGUACCAUUGCUAGAUAGUUACUCUGAUUGAUAUAGAAAUCAGUUCUUGUGCUACCGAUUUAGGUUCGAACCUAUGGGGUCACACACAUUAGAAGUUCCUCUCCGAUCACAUGGCUAAUCUGAAAAGUCCUAGUGGACGGAGACUCUGAUGAAGAGUCCCACUAGAUUUGGACUCUAUCAUUAAUAGAAGAUUAAUUAGUAAUUAAA